AUACUGAGCUGGCUGGGGAGACCCCAUAAUUAAGAAGGUGAUUUUCCCUGGAUGAAGCUUAUCUAUUACCCUUCAAAUGUGCUGAACCUGUGAUUUCCACUAGUGGGGGAAACUUAACUGUGUAAUUUGUGGCAGUAGAGUACUGUAAUCAUGCUCUCCUCUU